ensembl:lncRNA
GGACAGACAGAGAGAGGCCAGACAAAGAGAGACAGACAGAUAGACAAGACUCCAAUCAAUAUCAGGGCUAAUACAAAGACUUAAAAGGUCCCAUAUUGUACCACCAGGUGUGAGUGAUCAGCCGUUACAAGACAUUUUGAAAAUCUGUCUCUUCUGACAUCACAAGUGGGCGUAUUUUCCAAACGUCUUGUAAGGACACUCACACCUGGUGGUGUAAUAUGGGACCUUUAACUGCUAAUAAACUUUGUUUUUGCUCGUUUGUUUUGGUUGUUAUUUGAUGAGAACGGUGGUCCAGCCCGGAGCCGGCCGCGGUGCGUCCAUACGAGAUGGACCAGUGAAUCAUGUUCUAGUUGCAGGACGUCCCGGGGUGGAGUCGUACCGAUCUGACACGCCAACAGCACCGUGGAGCGCAGCAACAUCUGCUCGGAGACCGGGGUCAGGAACUACAGCCGGGGGGGGGGAGGGGGGGGACACAACACUGUUAGCCCCACACUGAGUUCAGGUCCAGUGCCUCACUGAUCCUCAUGAGUCCGGGGGUUCCUCAGACCCCAGGGAGGAAGCCUCAGCUGACCCCCUCUGUACUCUGAGGAAUGACUUAAACCAAUAGUUUGAGUCAUAACACUGUUCAUGUAAGAUUUAGAAUAUAUUUAUACUAAGAUAUGAGGGUAUUAAUGACGUUUUCACCCAUUAGAGACACUAUUUUUUUACUUAUUUUUAUAUUUUAUAUUAAUAAUCCAACAUUAUAAAAUGUUUGUGCUUCUAAUCUAAGGUACAUGGUGUAUGUGUGUUCCGGCCCGGUGUGAUCCGGUCCGGUCCGGUCCAGUCCAGUCCGGUCCGGUGUGGUCCGGUCCGGUGUGUUCCGGUCCAGUCCGGUCCGGUGUGAUCCGGUCCGGUCCGGUCCGGUCCUGUGUGUGGGGCUUACCUUCCUACAGGCCAGGGCCUCUCCCACCCGGCCCAGCAGAGCCCUGAGCUCAGGGCCGGUGGGCAGCUCCGCCUCCGUCCUGGGCCCCACGCCCACACUGAGCACCUCCUGGAGACAAAAACACACAGACACACACACUGAGCACCUCCUGGAGACAACAACACACAGACACACACACUGAGCACCUCCU